UACGUAGGGUGCAAGCGUUAUCCGGAAUUAUUGGGCGUAAAGAGCUCGUAGGCGGUUUGUCGCGUCUGCUGUGAAAACUGGAGGCUCAACCUCCAGCCUGCAGUGGGUACGGGCAGACUAGAGUGCGGUAGGGGAGAUUGGAAUUCCUGGUGUAGCGGUGGAAUGCGCAGAUAUCAGGAGGAACACCGAUGGCGAAGGCAGAUCUCUGGCCGUAACUGACGCUGAGGAGCGAAAGCAUGGGAGCGAACAGG
rnacentral:rRNA from 1 species